GGGGGCGAAACGGUUUCGACGGGGAUGUGCGGGAGGUGGUCGCGCGCCGAGUUCCGGGCUCUCGUAAAACGACCGGAAAACAUCAACUGCCAACGAUAACUUGGCUCUGGCGGCGUAAGUCCGCCACGUUCCUGAAGGCUUCGCCCGCGGGCUUUCAGGAACGACGCUAGCGGGAUGCUCCGGUUCGGUUCUCCCCGGCCGAAACGGAAAAGACUCAGGGGAUAGCGACCCGCCGAAUUGCCGGCUCCAGAGGCGGUGAGCGAAGGAUCGAGGAACCGGCUACGCGCGUAGACGCUGCCUUGGCCGGCAUUUUCGGACGCGGGUUCGACUCCCGCCGCCUCCACCA
rnacentral:tmRNA from 1 species